rnacentral:rRNA from 1 species
UACGAAGGGGGCUAGCGUUGUUCGGAAUUACUGGGCGUAAAGCGCACGUAGGCGGGUUGUUAAGUCAGGGGUGAAAAUCCUGGAGCUCAACUCCAGAACUGCCUUUGAUACUGGCAAGCCUAGAGACUGGAAGAGGUUAGUGGAAUUCCCAGUGUAGAGGUGAAAUUCGUAGAUAUUGGGAAGAACACCAGUGGCGAAGGCGGCUAACUGGU